GACGAACGCUGGCGGCGUGCUUAACACAUGCAAGUCGAGCGAGGUUCGCUUCAGUGGCAACACUGUCGUGAUACCUAGCGGCGAACGGGUGAGUAACACGUGAGGAACCUGCCCCAGACU
rnacentral:rRNA from 1 species